UAAAAUGCGAUGACAGGAACGAGUAGUGUUUAUCUCCCUGUUUUCAGAGAGCUAGUGGCCGGUGUGAACUAGCACAUAGAUAAACACGAAUUACCUCCUCGAGCAGCUUUUGCGAACGGAUUGUCCAAGUAGCAAAAGACGGCGUUUGCCGUUAUUGCAAUGAAGCGAGAAAGCGCUAUGCUUUCUAAGUAGGGUGGUACCGCGAUUGUCAUUCGUCCCUUCG
rnacentral:ncRNA from 1 species